UAGAUACCUGGUAGUCCGCACAGUAAACGAUGGAUGCCCGCUGUUAGCGCCUGGUGUUAGCGGCUAAGCGAAAGCAUUAAGCAUCCCACCUGGGGAGUACGCCGGCAACGGUGAAACUCAAAGGAAUUGACGGGGGCCCGCACAAGCGGAGGAACAUGUGGUUUAAUUCGAUGAUACGCGAGGAACCUUACCCGGGCUUGAAUUGCAGAUGUAGGAUACAGAGAUGUUGACGCCUUCGGGGCAUCUGUGA
rnacentral:rRNA from 1 species